rnacentral:tRNA from 1 species
GGAAAAAUGACAGAGCGGCUUAUUGUGUUAGUUUUGAAAAUUAAAGUAUUUUAUAAUACCGUGGGUUCAAAUCCCACUUUUUCCUUA